AGCAGUCGCCGCGGUAAUACGAAGGGGGCUAGCGUUGCUCGGAAUGACUGGGCGUAAAGGGCGCGUAGGCGGCGGCCAAAGUCAGGCGUGAAAUUCCCGGGCUCAACCUGGGGGCUGCGUUUGAUACUUGGUUGCUUGAGUGGAGAAGAGGGUCGUGGAAUUCCCAGUGUAGAGGUGAAAUUCGUAGAUAUUGGGAAGAACACCGGUGGCGAAGGCAGCGACCUGGUCCUUUACUGACGCUGAGGCGCGAAAGCGUGGGGAGCAAACAGGAUUAGAUACCCGCGUAGUCCCUGUCUCUUAUAA
rnacentral:rRNA from 1 species